rnacentral:rRNA from 1 species
UACGUAGGGGGCAAGCGUUAUCCGGAAUUACUGGGUGUAAAGGGUGAGUAGGCGGCACGGCAAGUAAGAUGUGAAAGCCCGGGGCUUAACUCCGGGAUUGCAUUUUAAACUGCUGAGCUAGAGUACAGGAGAGGAAAGCGGAAUUCCUAGUGUAGCGGUGAAAUGCGUAGAUAUUAGGAAGAACACCAGUGGCGAAGGCGGCUUUCUGGACUGGAAACUGACGCUGAGGCACGAAAGCGUGGGGAGCGAACAGG